rnacentral:rRNA from 1 species
GACAGAGGAGGCAAGCGUUGUUCGGAAUCAUUGGGCUUAAAGGGCGUGCAGGCGGCGGCGCAAGUGUCGAGUGAAAUCCCAUCGCUCAACGAUGGAACGGCUCGGCAAACUGCGUCGCUUGAGGUCGGUAGAGGUGCUCGGAACUCUAGGUGGAGCGGUGAAAUGCGUAGAUAUCUAGAGGAACGCCUGAGGCGAAAGCGGGGCACUGGGCCGAUUCUGACGCUGGAGACGCGAAAGCGUGGGGAGCAAACAGG